GACAAUGGGGAAACCCUGAUCCAGCCAUGCCGCGUGUGUGAAGAAGGUCUUAGGAUUGUAAAGCACUUUAAGUUGGGAGGAAGAGCAGUUAACUAAUAUUUGACUGUUUUGACGUUACCGACAGAAUAAGCACCGGCUAACUUCGUGCCAGCAGCCGCGGCAAUACGAAGGGUGCAAGCGUUAAUCGGAAUUACUGGGCGUAAAGCGCGCGUAGGUGGUUCGUUAAGUUAGGAGUGAAAGCCCCGGGCUCAACCUGGGAAUUGCUUCUAAAACUGGCGAGCUAGAGUAUGGUAGAGGAUGGUGGAAUUUCCUGUGUAGCGGUGAAAUGCGUAGAUAUAGGAAGGAACAUCAGUGGCGAAGGCGACCAACCUGGACUGAUACUGACACUGAGGUGCGAAAGCGUGGGGAGCAACAGGAUUA
rnacentral:rRNA from 1 species